rnacentral:rRNA from 1 species
GCCAGACUCCUACGGGAGGCAGCAGUAGGGAAUUUUCGUCAAUGGGCGCAAGCCUGAACGAGCAAUGCCGCGUGAGUGAGGAAGGUCUUCGGAUCGUAAAGCUCUGUUGCAGGUCAGAAAAGAAGGAAAGAGGAAAUGCUUUUCUUUUGAUAGUAACCUGCCAGAAAGUCGCGGCUAACUACGUGCCAGCAGCCGCGGUAAUACGUAGGGUGCGAGCGUUAAUCGGAAUUACUGGGCGUAAAGGGUGUGCAGGCGGCUGAGUAAGACAGAUGUGAAAUCCCCGGGCUUAACCUGGGAACCGCAUAUGUGACUGCUUGGCUAGAGUGCGUCAGAGGGAGGUGGAAUUCCACGUGUAGCAGUGGAAUGCGUAGAUAUGUGGAAGAACACCGAUGGCGAAGGCAGCCUCCUGGGACGCAACUGACGCUCAUACACGAAAGCGUGGGGAGCAAACAGGAUCAGAUACCCCUGUA